GUCAUGAUUCGCACAGGCCAAAAAUGAACUUAAAGAACAAUAAACACAGCACAUGGCUUGAUGCAUGCAACUGGCCCAUUUGAAACUGCUUGCAGGAAAACAAGAGCAUCUCACUUUGACUUUCCCUCCUGUGGUAAAAGCAUGUAAUGCCAUUCAAUGCUUAAAGGGCACUUAAUUACACUGAUGUCAUUUGAUUUAUAAAUAUGAAGCAGUGUGGGGUGUGAGCUUUGUAUCGUUCAUUUGAAAUAAGCUCUUGAGAGAAGAGGAGAGGAAGACGAGGCCAUGGAGGGGAAAGGGAAAGGCAUUUGGGUUUUGGGUAUGAUGUUGGGUGUGGUGUUGGUGUUAGCACAGAAUGUAACAUCGCAAUCACAGAUAUAUAGUUGCUGGGGAGGGUGCUACAACCAGUGUUAUCUCAUAAAUGGGCAAACUAGGGCAUCCAAGUGGCCUUGCUCUGCGAGUUGCAUAAAUGACUGCAACCCUUUCUUAUCUUCGGCCUCCCUAUCAUUUAACUUUUGUCAGCUUGGUUGUUCAUUAGCCUCAUGCCUCAAAUUCAGCUAUGCAGAUGGACUUGUGAUGGAAAGCUGCAUGAAGAGGUGCUUCAAGACCUGCAAGAACAAACAACUGUAGCCAGCCAUGUCCAUGUUUCACAUUGAUAAAAUCUAAGGGUGUCUCUGCUCUGUGCUUGGUCCAAAUUAGCAUUCAAUACUAAUAAAAUGGUAUGAUGUGUAUUUGAAAAA